rnacentral:rRNA from 1 species
ACGGGUGCGUAACGCGUGGGAAUCUGCCCUUGGGUUCGGAAUAACAGUUAGAAAUGACUGCUAAUACCGAAUGAUGUCGUAAGACCAAAGAUUUAUCGCCCAGGGAUGAGCCCGCGUAGGAUUAGCUAGUUGGUGUGGUAAAGGCGCACCAAGGCGACGAUCCUUAGCUGGUCUGAGAGGAUGAUCAGCCACACUGGGACUGAGACACGGCCCAGACUCCUACGGGAGGCAGCAGUGGGGAAUAUUGGACAAUGGGCGAAAGCCUGAUCCAGCAAUGCCGCGUGAGUGAUGAAGGCCUUAGGGUUGUAAAGCUCUUUUACCCGGGAUGAUAAUGACAGUACCGGGAGAAUAAGCUCCGGCUAACUCCGUGUCAGCAGCCGCGGUAAUACGGAGGGAGCUAGCGUUAUUCGGAAUUACUGGGCGUAAAGCGCACGUAGGCGGCUUUGUAAGUUAGAGGUGAAAGCCUGGAGCUCAACUCCAGAACUGCCUUUAAGACUGCAUCGCUUGAAUCCAGGAGAGGUGAGUGGAAUUCCGAGUGUAGAGGUGAAAUUCGUAGA